rnacentral:lncRNA from 10 species
GCUGGGCUAAAUGGGGCAGAGGCCGGGAGGGGUGGGGGUUCCCCGCGCCGCAGCCAUGGAGCAGCUUCGCGCCGCCGCCCGUCUGCAGAUUGUUCUGGGCCACCUCGGCCGCCCCUCGGCCGGGGCUGUCGUAGCUCAUCCCACUUCAGGGACUAUUUCCUCUGCCAGUUUCCAUCCUCAACAAUUCCAGUAUACUCUGGAUAAUAACGUUCUAACCCUGGAACAGAGAAAAUUUUAUGAAGAAAAUGGGUUUCUAGUAAUCAAAAAUCUUGUACCUGAUGCCGAUAUUCAACGCUUUCGGUACAGUAACACUAUUUGUUAUUUUACAAUAGUAUGUAUUGUGUGCAUGUAAUGAGAAUACAAGGUGGAUUCGCUCCUGGCUUUACAGAUGUUUUUUAAUGAUUUGGUUUGUUGGGAAGUGUUUAGAAGCAUGGGCUCUGGUGCCAGACUGGCUUUUUAUUUUUUAUAGAGAAAGGUUCUCACUCUGUUGUGUAGGCUGAGUGCAGUGGUGCGAUCAUAGCUUACUGCGGCCUCAAGUUCCUGGGCUCAAGCAAUCCUCUUGCCUCAGCCUCCUGAGUAGCUGGGACCACAGUUGUGCACCACCAUACCCAGCUAAUUUUUUAUUUCUUUGUUUUUAGAGACAGGGAGUCUCACUAUGUUGCCCAGGCUGGUCUUGAACUCCUGGCCUCACCCUCCUGAGUUGCUGGGAUUACAGUCGGGAGCCACCAUGCCUGGGCUUCAGUCUCAGCUCCACCACUUAAUAUCAUGUGUCCUGGGGCAAUUUACUUCACAUCCCAUGCCUCUGUUUCCUCAUCUGUAAAAUGGGGAUAAUAAUAGCACUUAUGUCCUAGUGUUGUUAUUAGGACUAAAUACGGUGAAAUAUAUGGAAACCACUUUGAAGAGAGCUGGGCACAUGGAAUGAGUUUGAAAAAAUCUGCAGAAAGGAGGUGAAACCAUUAGGAUUAACAGUAAUGAGAGAUGUGACCAUUUCGAAAUCCGAAUAUGCUCCAAGUGAGAAGAUGAUCACGAAGGUCCAGGAUUUCCAGGAAGAUAAGGAGCUCUUCAGAUACUGCACUCUCCCCGAGAUUCUGAAAUAUGUGGAGUGCUUCACUGGACCUAAUAUUAUGGCCAUGCACACAAUGUUGAUAAACAAACCUCCAGAUUCUGGCAAGAAGACGUCCCGUCACCCCCUGCACCAGGACCUGCACUAUUUCCCCUUCAGGCCCAGCGAUCUCAUCGUUUGCGCCUGGACGGCGAUGGAGCACAUCAGCCGGAACAACGGCUGUCUGGUUGUGCU